AACGAACGCUGGCGGCAGGCUUAACACAUGCAAGUCGAACGCGCCCUUCGGGGCGAGUGGCAGACGGGUGAGUAACGCUUGGGAACCUACCUCAUGGUACGGAAUAACUCAGUGAAACUUGAGCUAAUACCGUAUGUGUCUUUCGGGGGACAGAUUUAUCGCCAUGGGAUGGGCCCGAGUCGGAUUAGCUAGUUGGUGGGGUAACGGCAUACCAAGGCGACGAUCCGUAGCUGGUCUGAGCGGAUGAUCAGCCACACUGGGACGUGCGACACGGCCCAGACUCCUACGGGAGGCAGCAGUGGUGAAUAUUGGACAAUGGGGGCAACCCUGAUCCAGCCAUGCCGCGUGAGUGAUGAAGGCCUUAGGGUUGUAAAGCUCUUUCGCCGGUGAAGAUAAUGACGGUAACCGGAGAAGAAGCCCCGGCUAACUUCGUGCCAGCCGCCGCCGUAAGAC
rnacentral:rRNA from 1 species